UUAGUGGCGGACGGGUGAGUAACGCGUGGGUAACCUGCCUUACACAGGGGGAUAACACUUAGAAAUAGGUGCUAAAACCGCAUAAGCGCACAGCUUCGCAUGAAGCGGUGUGAAAAACUCUGGUGGUAUACGAUGGUUCCGCGUCUGAUUAGCUAGUUGGUGGGGUAAUGGCCUACCAAGGCAACGAUCAGUAGCCGGCCUGAGAGGGUGAACGGCCACAUUGGGACUGAGACACGGCCCAAACUCCUACGGAAGGCAGCAG
rnacentral:rRNA from 1 species